rnacentral:lncRNA from 1 species
UGCUGCCAGUCCCAUCCCUGCAGCCAUGUACCUCACCUUACUAUUUCUGCUGUUUCUGUGCCCUGUGACCUUGCUCCAGGAGACAGGAAGCUGCUCCCAGUACCCUCUCCUCUGCUGUUUGGGAGUAAUCAGUGAUUGCAAACGGGGAGGCUGCUAUUGUGAUGAGUUCUGCCACCUCGUGCCUGACUGCUGCCAUGAUUAUGUUGACACUUGCAGGCCUGCUUCCCGGGCAACCAAACUUAUAGCACAGGUGGUAGUGAGGAUGUGGCCCCUUGCUAGCACGACCUCAAGAAACCAGGCCUGGAUUCAGACUAUGGCCCAGCAGCUUCUUGACACUGGCUUCCCUGGCCUGUCCCUCGCUGGCACAGUGAAGGAAGCCAAGAAGACACUGUAACAUUCUCGCAUGAUCUGCCUCCCUCUGGACGCUUCCCAAGGAGGACCAGUAGUUAUGGCCAAGAGGUCAACGGUGGCUCGGCAUUAGGACAUGCUUGGAUAUCCGCCUACAAUAUUCUUUCAGCAUUCUGUCUGGAUUCCUCCCUUUCUUCCCAUCACUUAACUACUUUGUAUUGUACUUAUCUGCAUAUCUAUCUUCAACCCCAUCUCCCAGUAGACUAUAAGCUCCUUGAGGGCAAAGACUGUAAUUUUGAUCCCUAUAUCCCUGGCAUUUGGCACAGGGCCUUGCCCACUGGGGGAUCACUUAAUAUAUUGAAUAAGAGAAAGAGCCAGAAGGAAAGAUGAAUACCAUGGAGCCCAACCUUCUCAUUUCAAAGAUGAGGAAACUAAAGUCUCAAGAAGCAACAUAAUUUUUCCAAGGUCACAUAGCAAUUUAACAGCAAGGCUGGGACCAGAACCCAGAUGUGGUGGGAGCAAUAGUAGGUUUUUACUCAAAAUGUGUUGUCAAGAUUUAAUUGUAAAAUGAGGGGAUUGGAUUAAAUAAUAUCUAAAGUCCUCUCCAGUAGCUUUUUAAAACCCUACACAACCUGUCCUCCUCGCCUCUGCCACCAUCCUGGUGGAGGCCUUCAUCACCUGCUGAUUGCAAUAAUCUGCCUCAGGUCUCUCCCUGAUCCAAUCCAUCUCCAUUUGGCCACAGAAGUGAUUUUCCUAAAGCAUAGGUCUGACCAUAUCACCCUCCUCCUCAGUGGCUCCCUAUCACCUUCAGGGUCAAAUACAAAAUCUUCCACUGGGCUUUCAAAGCCCUUCAUAACCCAGCCCCCUUCUACCUUUCCAGUCUUAUUAUGGCUUACUCCCAGCCAUGUACUCUUUCAUCAGUGACUGGCUUCCUGGCUGUUCCAUGAAUAAGAUGCUCCAUCUCUUGGCUCCAGGCAUUUUCUCUGGCUGUUCCCCACGUCUAGAAUACUCCCCUUCCUUGUCACUUCCCUGGGUUCCUUCAAGUC